CCAAUAGCGUAUAUUAAAGUUGUUGCAGUUAAAAAGCUCGUAGUUGAAUUUCGGGGUUAGUAGAUUGGUCAUGCCUCUGGUAUGCACUGGUCUCACUGAUUCCUCCUUCCUGAUGAGCCGCAAUGCCAUUAAUUUGGUGUUGCGGGGAAUUUGGACUGUUACUUUGAAAAAAUUAGAGUGUUUAAAGCAAGCUAACGCUUGAAUACAUUAGCAUGGAAUAAUGAAAUAGGACGUUCGAUCCUAUUUUGUUGGUUUCUAGGAUUGACGUAAUGAUUAAUAGGGAUAGUGGGGGGCAUUAGUAUUCAAUUGUCAGAGGUGAAAUUCUUGGAUUUAUUGAAGACUAACUACUGCGAAAGCAUUUGCCAAGGAUGUUUUCAUUAAUCAAGAACGAAAGUUAGGGGAUCGAAGACGAUCAGAUACCGUCGUAGUCUUAACCAUAAACUAUGCCGACUAGGGAUCGGAUGAUGUUAAUUUUUUAAUGACUCAUUCGGCGCCUUACG
rnacentral:rRNA from 1 species